GCGCCCGUAGCUCAGUUGGAUAGAGCGAAUGGUUUCUACCCAUUAGGUCGGGGGUUCGAAUCCUCCCGGGCGUGCCA
rnacentral:tRNA from 2 species